rnacentral:piRNA from 1 species
UGAGUCAUUCAUUUGCUGUGGGCUG